AAACCAUGAUGGGGUUAAGCCUAAGGAUUUCUUUGAAACUCUCCCAUGCAUCAUAAAGAGAUUCCCCAUCUCUUAGUGAAUCAUGUGAUUUGAUCCCUCAAUUG
rfam:Medicago truncatula strain A17 chromosome 2, whole genome shotgun sequence.